rnacentral:tRNA from 1 species
GCGGAUGUGGCUCAUUGGGAGAGCAUCUCCUUGCCAAGGAGAGGGUCAAGAGUUCGAAUCUCUUCAUCCGCU